GCUCACUGCCCCCCGUGGGCGUUUCCUCCCUGAACUUGGGCCGUGCCUCGCGCACGGCCUUUUUUUUGGCCCGAC
rnacentral:sRNA from 1 species